UCUCUUUUGUUCAUUUUCAGCUACAGUCGAGUCCCAAACUAUUGCUUGCUUUGCAAAACGAGAGUCUCAAUAUAAAUUCUGGUGCACGAAAGCUCUCUCUGCUGUGUGAAGUAAAGAGUACCCCUCCCAAUUCUGGGGAAUAUCUGAAAAGCUCAAGAGGAUUUUCAACCAACACAACAUUUGAAACCCAAGAAUACUAAGACAGAAGCUUGUCCACCCCAAGGAUAAAACACCCAGACAAAAAUUAAGCAAUGUAAUGAACUAAAUCUGAAUUGGACAUUAAUUUAUGUUCUGGAAAUGACCCUUGAUUUCUAAAAUAUAUAAAAUGUUACUUAAGAUGAACAAGUUAAAGAGUGUAUGAUAAAAUGGGCAAAAAAAUUGGGUAUAAUAUAAUGCUAGAUAAAUGGAAGAAUGUAUGGAUGAAUGGACUAAAAUUCACAUUAAAUUAUAGUUUGAAAAAAAACUUCUACAAAAUGAUGUAUCAUUCAUAUUUUACCCCAGAUAAACUUGCAAAAAUGUCUAAAUGGAUUUUUAAUAGGUGCUGGAAAUGUAAUCAAAAUCCAGAUUCAUUUUAUCAUAGUAGUUUUAGUAAUUUUGCAAAUAUAUGAAAACAUAUUGGAUAAACAUAACAAUGACAAUGCAAAAAAUAUUUAAGAUACAAAUAUUAAUAAAACCGGAAACUUUUAUUUUAGGUAUGAUGGACAAGCUAAUUGAAAAACAAUUUGGGGUGCUAUUCCUUUAUAUGGUGACAGUUAUGAGAAUUGUACUUGUCAAACACUGGAAAGAAAAGAGAUGCCGACUGUUGAAGAAUGGAUUUUGAAAUUGACUGAACUAGUAGAGAUGGUGAAAUUAACUGCUUUGAUUAGAGAUAAUGGACUAAGCAGCUUUAUGAGAGACUGGAAACCAUCUGUAGACUUUCUACGCACUAAAUUUGGUUAACAGAGGGAUCUGAAGAUUAGUGCAACAUUUAGCUCAACCUGUUGCUUGUUUUUUCUUCAUAUAUACAUAUAUAUAUAAAUGGAAUGAAUAAAGCGCAUUCACCAGGAGAGUUUAAAGUUAAAAUACUUUAAUUAAAG